rnacentral:rRNA from 1 species
GACAAACAGGUCAAAUUAAGAAUUGUCAGUGAUAGGGGGUUAAGAAAGUAAUUGUUUACGUAGUUGGAAGGGUACUUUUCUUAUAGAGGUGGAAUUUGUGUUAGAAGAGUGAUUUCUUGUAUUUCCUUAAAUUUCUGAUGCCCCGAAAUCUCAAUGAUAGACUGGGAUUAGAUACCCCAUUAUUUGAGAUGUAAAAUUUGAUUUUUUUUGAAAAAUUUACUUGAGUAUUACGAGUUAUAUUAAAAUAUUAAGAAUAUUUAGUGUAGAAUACUUAAAACUCAAAAGACUUGGCGGUAUUUUAAGUCCUUCCAGGGGAACCUGUCUCGUAAUCGAUAAUCCACGAUUUAUCUUUCCUUUUUUUGAAUUUAUGAAUUCAGCUUGUAUGCCGUCGUCGUCAGACUACCUUUGAGAGUUAGAUUUAAGUUGUCGGAAAGAACUGAAGUAUUGGGUGUUUUUAGAUUUAAAUAUUAAAGAACUAUCUAAAUUUUGUUCUGGACGUCAGAUCAAGGUGCAGCCUAUGAGAAGGUGAGGAUGGGUUACAAUAUUAAUUUGAUAUACGAAUCUUUUAUUGUAAAUACUAAAAUUGAAGGAGGACUUGGAAGUAAUUAUUGGAGAUUAGAAUGCUUCGGUGAAGAUGGCCCUAAAAUGUGC